rnacentral:tRNA from 3 species
GGGCAUGUAGCUCAGGUGGUUAGAGCACACGCCUGAUAAGCGUGAGGUCAGUGGUUCGAGUCCACUCAUGCCCACCA